rnacentral:rRNA from 1 species
CUGGCCGUAAACGAUGAACACUAGAUGUUGGGGGAAUCGACCCCCUCGGUGUCGUAGCUAACGCGUUAGGUGUUCCGCCUGGGGAGUACGCACGCAAGUGUGAAACUCAAAGGAAUUGACGGGGGCCCGCACAAGCGGUGGAGUAUGUGGUUUAAUUCGAUGCAACGCGAAGAACCUUACCAAGGCUUGACAUCCUGCGAAUCUCCAAGAAAUUGGAGAGUGCCUUUUGGAACGCAGUGACAGGUGGUGCAUGGCUGUCGUCAGCUCGUGUCGUGAGAUGUUGGGUUAAGUCCCGCAACGAGCGCAACCCACGUUUUUAGUUGCCAGCAUUCAGUUGGGCACUCUAGAAAGACUGCCGGUGACAAACCGGAGGAAGGUGUGGACGACGUCAAGUCAUCAUGCCCCUUACGCCUUGGGCUACACACGUACUACAAUGCUGCGGACAAAGAGUAGCGAUCUUGCGAAAGUUAGCUAAUCUCGUAAACCGUGGCUCAGUUCAGAUCGUAGGCUGCAACUCGCCUACGUGAAGGAGGAAUCGCUAGUAAUCGCAGGUCAGCAUACUGCGGUGAAUACGUUCCCGGGCCUUGUACACACCGCCCGUCACACCAUGGAAGUUGGCCAUGCCCGAAGUCGUUACUCUAACCUUUUGGAAGAGGGCGCCGAAGGCAGGGCUAAUGACUGGGGUGAAGUCGUAACAAGGUAGCCGUAGCGGAAGCUGCGGCUGGAUCACCUCCUAA